UGGCCAUACAGUUUCAGCUAGAGGCUCAAGCCUGGAGGAGUGAGGAUCAAGAUUGAGAACUCAAAGCUGUUUAGAGGAAGAAGCCAAGUUCAAGGAGGAGUGAGGAACGGAAAGUUCCCCAAAUCCUCA